CCUCUCGAUUCUGAUCCUAAGUGAAAAUCAGCAGGGUACGCUUCAUAAUUACUGUUGUGCAAAUCCCAACCCUCCUCAGAGACUGAUACAACAGGACUAAGGCCCAGGUGUCAGUAUUUCUUUUUUUUCCAAGUUUACCAUGUCCACAGAAAGGCAAAUAUUUUGUGUUUGAAAUAAUGCUUAGCAGAAUCUGGAAAGGGUAUGGAGUGGGGAAUGGAGAAAGAAUAACAAGUAUAAGAGUACUGUUGGAUAGGAGGAAUAACUUCUCAUGUUCAAUGGCUCAGUAGGGUAACUAUGGCUGAUAACAAUUAAUUGAAUAUUUCUUUUCUUUUUCCCGCUAGGGAUCAAAUCCACAUCCUCACUAAAUGAAUAUUUCAAAGACUCAAGUGCCCCCAGGAUACCUUACCUUUAUCUUCAUAGCUCCACCUCUGCUGCAGCUUCAAGAAACCCAGGAUCAUUUCAAGGAUUGUCCGCCUCUGGUUGCUCUGUAAUGUUUCAAGGGGUACUGGAGUCAAAGAAUAUUUUAAAGGAUUUCAACUCUGCUAUUCUGGAGCUGGCUGCCACAGUUCCAUUACCCUGUAGAAUGUUGCUAAGGAAGGUGUCAAGAAGGUCCUCUGCAUCAGCACUCAGCACAGAGCGAGACAAACACGCAGUCAGGGAGUGAAGGGCUGCCAGGCCUUCUGCCUCCACCUGCUCACUUGCUGUCUGGAACACCUGAUGGAAGGAUCCCAUGGCUACUGAGGAGCAAGGAGUGACACUGGAGCAGCACCUGUGACAAAAGCUGGAUACCCCGUGCCCGAGUCUGGGGUUCAGGAUUCUCCAGAGAGGACCUGGAAGAGAGCAGGAGGGGAGAAUCUACCAUUACCCAGUUCAACCAUUUACAGGAAUAAAUAUUUUGCAAUCAGUCACACUCAUUCACUGGGCACAUGAGAGUUAAGCUCUGUUAAAAACAGUACUAGGAGGUGUUCCUGAGGUGUAUUACAGACACAAGUAUGGACCACGACCAGAAAAACUAACUCUCAAUCUGAUCCAGCAUCAUUAGAGGCACAUCUGAUACCCACAGCCAACUGAAGUUUUUUUUUGUCUCCAGACACCCUUAGUUGGCAACUAAUGGGUAUUGUGUUCUUUUUCCCUGUGGUAUGAAGGACUGAUAUUCCUCUGAAAUAGAGCUUAGCAGCUACCUACAGAGCUUGGAAGAUGACUGGUAACUGCAGAUCCUACCAAAACAGAAGAAAGAUAUAUUUUUGUAAAUUUCUGCUAAGGGAAAAAAUGCUAAGAGCAAA